AUGAAGAACUGGGUUUUGGAAUAGCAUUUUCUGUGCAUGAGGCUAAGAAAAAUGGAUUGAAUUGAUUGAGUCAAUGAAAUAAUUUUUUAGUUAAUUACAUUGAAUAUUUGGAGUUUAAGUGGUCAAAAUAAAUUUAUAAUCAGUAUUUUUAUGAUUCUCAUAAAUAGCCUUCAACCCCACACACGUAGUAAUUCUGGGUAUCUUUCACAAUCUUCAUCUUUACCAAACAUCAAAAAUCUCUCCCUCUCUCUCAAAAUCUCCAACCUUCUUUUGCAUUUCUCUAUAUUUUUUUAUAAUCACUGUUUGUAAGUUAGGGGAAAUAACCAAUUCUCUAUCAAUGCUUUACAUAUUAGAUAACCCAACUGUUCUGCAUUACAAUAACUAGAAGUCAGAGAUGUAAGAAGGAGAGAGAGAGGUCACACACGAUGCGGACACAGACCAGAUAAAAUUAACUUGUCCUUUAAGACCAACGAAGACCUUCCAAGCGAAUGCAUACCACAGAAUUUUUACUGCUUCAUUGCUGUGGCAGGAUUCCCAAACUUCAGUAAAAGUCAGGGAUGUAUGAAAUCAGAGAUGGUACAAAAAUGGAAAUCCAAAGGAUAUCUACAAAAUCUGAGGAAUAGCCUUGCCCUUUCUAUUUCCUCUGGGAACAAAGAACACAGUAAAUAAACUUUAUCUAGAUGCUAAGGCAGGGAAGGCCAUGGCACCCCACUCCAGGACUCUUGCCUGGAAAAUCCCAUGGAUGGAGGAGCCUGGUAGGCUGCAGUCCAUGGGGUCGCUGAGGGUCGGACACGACUGAGCGACUUCACUUUCACUUUUCACUUUCAUGCAUUGGAGAAGGAAAUGGCAACCCACUCCAGUGUUCUUGCCUGGAGAAUCCCAGGGACAGCGGAGCCUGGUGGGCUGCCGUCUCUGGGGUCGCACAGAGUCGGACACCACUGAAGCGACUUAGCAGCAGCAGCAGCAGCAGAUGCUAAGGGUGUCAGUUACUCACAGGGGGAUAUGUGCAGAGGUCUCACACCCAGCCUUUCAGAUGAGCAUUCCUGGUGUGAAACAGCGGCGCCAGUACCUCAGGGAGUGGCCAUGUACUUGCUCUGAGAAUGGAUCCUCCAUUCAAGGUGGCGUUGGUGAGUGGCUCCUGGAGUCGAGAUGGAGUUGGCGUCCACAUGCCCAGCAGACACCACACCAUGUGCAGAGAUGCCGUGUCUCCCACUGCAAUCCGGAGCAUAAGAAGUGCAGCUGCACUGAGGGGGUUACUCCGCCCCCUCACCCCCUCCUCCAGGCUGGCUGCAGACAAUUGGGUAAAGAAUUCACCUGUCCACGUAUGCUCUGGAGCAGGUGUCGCCAAUCUCUGGGCCACAGAUCAAUACCUCCUGUCAGAUUAGCAGCAGCAUUGGAUUAGAAGCAAAGUCCACAGUAAAUGUAACGUCCUUGACUCAUCCCCAAACCAUCCUCCCUACUCCUGGUUCUUGGAAAAACUGUCUUCCAUGAAACUGGUCCCUGUGCCAUAAAGGUUGGGGACCGCUCCUCUAGAUCGAGCUCACACCUCUCCAUUCUCUGAUCAGAGAAAAGAACUUUGCUUCUGAGCCGGACUCCAUCUUGUUCUAUUGGCUCCAAUGACACACGAGAAGGACCUUUGUAUGCCGUGUCACACUGAACCCUUAACAAGAAAAAAUAAUUACUAAGAGCAUUACAGCUUUAGAAAACUGCUUCAGGCUAUUUCUUCCUGCUAACUGUUUGGACAAACAUUUUUUUAUUUUUUAUUUAAUACAUUUCAAAGUAAAGAUUGUUCAUCGCGAAAUGGAGCAGGACGCUAUGGUCCUUGCCUCUCCGUGUCCUUGCCUGCCCUUUGUCUGUGGAAAACUUCAGUCAAAGGAUAAGUGUAUUCAGAGAAAUGAGAACAUGCAAAAACAAAGGAAAACAGCCCCAAGCAGACCAAAUAAUAAUAAUGUAGUCAUUAAGUAUAGUCAAGGUCCUUUAGUUCCUUCUCAAGGGCCGUAGAUAAUAUUCUGAACCAUCUCCUGUGAGCUGUCUUAAAGAUACUGAAACCCCCACCAGGUGGAAGAAAUUAACUACAUGAUGACCAGACUGCAGCUGUGACUUAAAAUG
ensembl:lncRNA